UACGUAGGGUGCAAGCGUUAAUCGGAAUUACUGGGCGUAAAGCGUGCGCAGGCGGUUCGUUGUGUCGGCUGUGAAAGCCCCGGGCUUAACCUGGGAAUGGCCGUUGAAACUGGCGGACUGGAGUGUGGCAGAGGGGGGUGGAAUUCCGCGUGUAGCAGUGAAAUGCGUAGAGAUGCGGAGGAACACCGAUGGCGAAGGCAGCCCCCUGGGCUAACACUGACGCUCAGGCACGAAAGCGUGGGGAGCAAACAGG
rnacentral:rRNA from 1 species